GAAGCUACUUCUUGGGUGCUUCUUUGCAAGACAGCUUGUCAUAGACUGGCAUUAUCUCUCUCUCCCUCUCUCUCAUGUGCAAUGAAAAAGCCUUCUUUUAAGGCUAUCAUCUCUAAAAACUCUUUCUUUCUCUUUUAAGGCAAGAGAGAAAAGCCAACAUUUUUUCCUUUCUCUGGCAUUGCUUUAAUGUAGCAUUUGUUUUCUUGCUGUUGUGCACUGACAGUGAUGUUCAUUUCAUUCUCUGUUGACCCACAUUACUCUUAGCCUCAAAAGUCUACAGUCAAAUUCCCUCAACUCCGUUGUUUCAGGCCUAUAUAUUUGGAGCUUUCCUUGCAACUCUUCUCUGUGUCCACAUUUCUCUGAGAAGAUUUAAGAUUGUGCGUACCUCCAAUGACCAGCUUAUACGUACCAUAAUGGCACUAUGAAUGUUGUAUCUUUGCAACAACUUCUAAACUUCUAUCACCAUAGUUCCAGAAUUCAAGAGAGCACUUAGUUGUCUUAGUUCGCACAACAAACAAUGGAAGAGAGCUUUGUUCCAUUUCGUGGAAUCAAGAAUGACCUUCGAGGGAGACUGAAGUGCUACAAGCAAGACUGGACUGGUGGUUUCGGGGCAGGUUUCAGGAUUUUGGCCCCCACCACAUAUAUAUUUUUCGCAUCAGCAAUUCCUGUUAUUUCAUUUGGAGAACAGUUGGAAAGAGAUACAGGUAAAAGUAUACAUUUUUAUGUAAAAUUUGCCACUUAUUUUAUGAGGUGAAGAUAAAGAUUGUGCCUAGAAUGGAAAGAGUAUGACUGGUCG